UUCCGGUUGAUCCCGCCGGAGGCCAUUGCUAUCGGAGUCCGAUUUAGCCAUGCUAGUCGAGCGAGGUUAGCCCUCGCGGCGAACAGCUCAGUAACACGUGGCCAAGCUACCCUGCAGAGGGGGACGGCGUCGGGAAACUGACGGGAAUCCCCCAUACCGGUCUCACGCUGGAAUGCCGAGACCGACAAACGCUCCGGCGCUGCAGGAUGCGGCUGCGGCCGAUUAGGUAGUCGGUGGGGUAACGGCCCACCGAGCCGAUAAUUGGUACGGGGUGUGAGAGCACGAGCCCGGAGACGGAAUCUGAGACAAGAUUCCGGGCCCUACGGGGCGCAGCAGGCGCGAAACCUUUACACUGCACGAAGGUGCGGUAAGGGGACUCCGAGUGCGAGGGCAUACAGUCCUCGCUAUUGUGUACCGUAGGGUGGUACACGACCAAGAGCUGGGCAAGACCGGUGCCAGCAGCCGCGGUAAU
rnacentral:rRNA from 1 species